CACGUAGGGCGCAAGCGUUGUCCGGAAUUAUUGGGCGUAAAGAGCUCGUAGGCGGCCCGGUAAGUCCGCUGUGAAAGUCGGGGGCUCAACCCUCGGAUGCCGGUGGAUACUGUCGGGCUAGAGUGCGGAAGAGGCGAGUGGAAUUCCUGGUGUAGCGGUGAAAUGCGCAGAUAUCAGGAGGAACACCAAUUGCGAAGGCAGCUCGCUGGGACGUUACUGACGCUGAGACGCGAAAGCGUGGGGAGCAAACAGG
rnacentral:rRNA from 1 species